GAGGAGAAAUUAUGCUAUAGCAUAAACAUAUAAGCAUUAUAAACAUGGGCUGGGGCAGAAAUAUGCCUACGCUAAAAGAAUCGGGCGUUUCGAAUUUUUUAGAAGCAAUAGAAUAUGGCACAAAGGAUCGACGUACAAAAUAUGAUGACAGUUUUCCAAGCUGUAUCAAUUUCAAAGGGAACAUUCCAAUACCUUGCAAAACUAUUAAAUCGAUAAAAAAUUGAGCUUGAUGUGGUAACCUGUUGGCAAGGAAAUGCGCAAAACUGGUGGUAUCUUUUGCUAACUCCCAAAUUGAAGUUGAACCAGCAAUAACAUAGACUAGAAAAAAGUUUACAAAGAGAUAAGCAUAAUUCUUACCAACAGCGUAAAUUUCCUCUUCAGCGCGAGAGCUCAGGCCUUGCAUAGACGAUAACCAUCGAAAAAGAAAUGGUGAAAUGCUGAUGAAUAGUGAAUAAACCAACGUUGGAAGGAAAGUGCGCAACAAAGAAUUUAAAAAAGGGAGAUCUUCAAUCAUACGACCAAGUUCCGGCCAGAGUCUUCGAAUUGUAUCUAAGUUAAUAAAU